rnacentral:rRNA from 1 species
UACAGAGGUGGCAAGCGUUGUUCGGAAUUACUGGGCGUAAAGGGCGCGUAGGCGGCCAUCUAAGUCAGACGUGAAAUCCCCCGGCUUAACCUGGGAACUGCAAUGGAAACUGGCGGGCUUGAGUGUGGCAGAGGGGGGUGGAAUUCCGCGUGUAGCAGUGAAAUGCGUAGAGAUGCGGAGGAACACCGAUGGCGAAGGCAGCCCCCUGGGCCAACACUGACGCUCAGGCACGAAAGCGUGGGGAGCAAACAGG